CCUACGGGAGGCAGCAGUGAGGAAUAUUGGUCAAUGGGCGAGAGCCUGAACCAGCCAAGUCGCGUGAAGGAUGACGGCCCUACGGGUUGUAAACUUCUUUUGUCAGGGAGCAAUUGAGUCCACGUGUGGGCUUAGCGAGAGUACCUGAAGAAAAAGCAUCGGCUAACUCCGUGCCAGCAGCCGCGGUAAUACGGAGGAUGCGAGCGUUAUCCGGAUUUAUUGGGUUUAAAGGGUGCGUAGGCGGAAUAUCAAGUCAGCGGUAAAAAUUCGGGGCUCAACCCCGUCGUGCCGUUGAAACUGAUGUUCUUGAGUGGGCGAGAAGUAUGCGGAAUGCGUGGUGUAGCGGUGAAAUGCAUAGAUAUCACGCAGAACUCCGAUUGCGAAGGCAGCUUUCUGGACUGAAACUGACGCUGAGGCUCGAAAGCGUGGGGAGCGAACAGGAUUAGAUACCCCUGUAGUC
rnacentral:rRNA from 1 species